AGUGAACGCUGGCGGUAGGCCUAACACAUGCAAGUCGAACGGCAGCACAGUAAGAGCUUGCUCUUACGGGUGGCGAGUGGCGGACGGGUGAGGAAUACAUCGGACUCUACUUUUUCGUGGGGGAUAACGUAGGGAAACUUACGCUAAUACCGCAUACGACCUACGGGUGAAAGCAGGGGAUCUUCGGACCUUGCGCGAUUGAAUGAGCCGAUGUCGGAUUUGUUAGUUGGCGGGGUAAAUGCCCACCAAGGCGACGAUCCGUAGCUGGUCUGAGAGGAUGAUCAGCCACACUGGAACUGAGACACGGUCCAGACUCCUACGGGAGGCAGCAGUGGGGAAUAUUGGACAAUGGGCGCAAGCCUGAUCCAGCCAUACCGCGUGGGUGAAGAAGGCCUUCGGGUUGUAAAGCCCUUUUGUUGGGAAAGAAAAGCAGCAGGUUAAUACCCCGCUGUUCUGACGGUACCCAAAGAAUAAGCACCGGCUAACUUCGUG
rnacentral:rRNA from 1 species